GUUUGGUAGGGCAAGAGGGCAGGUGGGUGCAAUGUUUCUUCUUUUGAUGUGUUCUUGUCUUCACCUCAGGGACCUGGACGCCCUGCCUCUUGAGGCAAGGUUGUGGAUGUCCCGGGCCUUAUGGUCCCUGCUUCGCAUGAGGUGGGGCAGCAUCCAUCUGAACGCUCAUCACUACCAAGGCCAAGGUUUUGGAAGGAAGUCCUUCUUCUCCCAUCUUAGUAUUAGACCAUCGGAUUUGGGACACGGGACUAAGGCCGCUGACUCCGCAUCCCUUACAAGCAUACACAGCUGCCUGCCCUUUUGCCUUGUGUCCAUCCUGGAGCGGCCUUCUGCAAGAUUCUAUGUUACCUGUCCUCGGUCCACUUGGAAUCUCUUGAGAGAGCCGAGUCCUGUGUGUUCCUAGGCCCUGCCACAGGGACCUGGACGCCCUGCCUGUUGAGGCAAGGUUGUGGAUGUCCCGGGCCUUAUGGUCCCUGCUUCGCAUGAGGUGGGGCAGCAUCCAUCUGAACGCUCAUCACUACCAAGGCCAAGGUUUUGGAAGGAAGUCCUUCUUCUCCCAUCUUAGUAUUAGACCAUCGGAUUUGGGACACGGGACUAAGGCCGCUGACUCCGCAUCCCUUACAAGCAUACACAGCUGCCUGCCCUUUUGCCUUGUGUCCAUCCUGGAGCGGCCUUCUGCAAGAUUCUAUGUUACCUGUCCUCGGUCCACUUGGAAUCUCUUGAGAGAGCCGAGUCCUGUGUGUUCCUAGGCCCUGCCACAGGGACCUGGACGCCCUGCCUGUUGAGGCAAGGUUGUGGAUGUCCCGGGCCUUAUGGUCCCUGCUUCGCAUGAGGUGGGGCAGCAUCCAUCUGAACGCUCAUCACUACCAAGGCCAAGGUUUUGGAAGGAAGUCCUUCUUCUCCCAUCUUAGUAUUAGACCAUCGGAUUUGGGACACGGGACUAAGGCCGCUGACUCCGCAUCCCUUACAAGCAUACACAGCUGCCUGCCCUUUUGCCUUGUGUCCAUCCUGGAGCGGCCUUCUGCAAGGUGGGAAGCCCGAGCUGGGUCUAGGGACCCAUUGAGUUGGGUGGUCGUCUCCCUUGGUGUAACACCUUCCAUCCCACUGCCUUAGAAGAACCGGGUACAGUCUUGGAGGCCCCUCUUGCCGGGCCACCUUGACCUGGAAGCUUGGGUCAGCAGACCCAAGGCCAUGCUGGAAGCUGUACUGGUCACCCUGGUGGGUGGAGUCAUGUAGACAGCCACUGGAUCUCUGAAAGCUGCUGUGUGUGUGUGUGUGUG